rnacentral:rRNA from 1 species
GAGUAACGCGUGGGCAACCUGCCCCGUACCGGGGGAUAACACCUGGAAACAGGUGCUAAUACCGCAUAAUAAGAGGUUCCGCAUGGGACCUCCUUGAAAACUCCGGUGGUACGGGAUGGACCCGCGUCUGAUUAGCUGGUUGGCGGGGUAACGGCCCACCAAGGCGACGAUCAGUAGCCGGCCUGAGAGGGUGGACGGCCACAUUGGGGCUGAGACACGGCCCAGACUCCUACGGGAGGCAGCAGUGGGGAAUAUUGCACAAUGGGGGAAACCCUGAUGCAGCGACGCCGCGUGAGUGAAGAAGUGUUUCGGCACGUAAAGCUCUGUCAGCAGGGAAGAAGAUGACGGUACCUGACCAAGAAGCCCCGGCUAACUACGUGCCAGCAGCCGCGGUAAUACGUAGGGGGCAAGCGUUAUCCGGAUUUACUGGGUGUAAAGGGAGCGUAGACGGCGGUGCAAGCCAGAUGUGAAAGCCCGGGGCUCAACCCCGGGACUGCAUUUGGAACUGUGCUGCUAGAGUGUCGGAGAGGCAGGCGGAAUUCCUAGUGUAGCGGUGAAAUGCGUAGAUAUUAGGAGGAACACCAGUGGCGAAGGCGGCCUGCUGGGCUUUUACUGACGCUGAGGCUCGAAAGUGUGGGGAGCAAACAGGAUUAGAUACCCUGGUAGUCCACACCGUAAACGAUGAUUACUAGGUGU